rnacentral:rRNA from 1 species
UUUAUUGGAGAGUUUGAUCCUGGCUCAGGAUGAACGCUGGCGGCGUGCCUAAUACAUGCAAGUCGAGCGAAUGGAUUAAGAGCUUGCUCUUAUGAAGUUAGCGGCGGACGGGUGAGUAACACGUGGGUAACCUGCCCAUAAGACUGGGAUAACUCCGGGAAACCGGGGCUAAUACCGGAUAAUAUUUUGAACUGCAUGGUUCGAAAUUGAAAGGCGGCUUCGGCUGUCGCUUAUGGAUGGACCCGCGUCGCAUUAGCUAGUUGGUGAGGUAACGGCUCACCAAGGCAACGAUGCGUAGCCGACCUGAGAGGGUGAU